CAACUGCUGGAAUUGACUUCUCUUACUUACUAAUCUACUUGUUUGUCACCAAAAAGUGUAUCUAUCGUUGAAAGUAAAGACAUGCUAUAAAAUGAGUUUUAGUUCAUUCUAGUUAGGAAGUAAGUAUGGCUUAAGUGGGAGGCGUGGAGUUUUGGUGUUAUCAAAUAAUCAGACGUUUAAUUUGUUAAGCUAAAAUGGUACACAAUAUUAAACCCCGCAUCACUCAACUCCUCCAUAAUCACGAGUUUGUCUCUCUUCUUAACGCUACGUGUGCUCUUCUCGCUCUUCUAUGCGCGUGAUAGUAUUGGCCCAACACCUUACAAGAAUGUCACGGGUUAGGUUUCGCCACCACAAAUUCUAUGCAGACAUUUACAAGACAAGAAACAAUAAAAAUAACUCGCACA
rnacentral:lncRNA from 1 species